ensembl:snoRNA SNORD63 Small nucleolar RNA SNORD63
GUGCAAUGAUGCAUUUUAUUCAGCACAUCAUUCUGAAAAGUACAGAUGUGUGAAAACUAAUGACUGAGCACA